UAACGUCCGUCGUGAAGAGGGAAACAACCCAGACCGCCAGCUAAGGUCCCAAAGUCAUGGUUAAGUGGGAAACGAUGUGGGAAGGCCCAGACAGCCAGGAUGUUGGCUUAGAAGCAGCCAUCAUUUAAAGAAAGCGUAAUAGCUCACUGGUCGAGUCGGCCUGCGCGGAAGAUGUAACGGGGCUAAACCAUGCACCGAAGCUGCGGCAGCGACGCUUAUGCGUUGUUGGGUAGGGGAGCGUUCUGUAAGCCUGUGAAGGUGUGCUGUGAGGCAUGCUGGAGGUAUCAGAAGUGCGAAUGCUGACAUAAGUAACGAUAAAGCGGGUGAAAAGCCCGCUCGCCGGAAGACCAAGGGUUCCUGUCCAACGUUAAUCGGGGCAGGGUGAGUCGACCCCUAAGGCGAGGCCGAAAGGCGUAGUCGAUGGGAAACAGGUUAAUAUUCCUGUACUUGGUGUUACUGCGAAGGGGGGACGGAGAAGGCUAUGUUGGCCGGGCGACGGUUGUCCCGGUUUAAGCGCGUAGGCUGAUUUUCCAGGCAAAUCCGGAAAAUCAAGGCUGAGGCGUGAUGACGAGGCACUACGGUGCUGAAGCAACAAAUGCCCUGCUUCCAGGAAAAGCCUCUAAGCAUCAGGUAACAUCAAAUCGUACCCCAAACCGACACAGGUGGUCAGGUAGAGAAUACCAAGGCGCUUGAGAGAACUCGGGUGAAGGAACUAGGCAAAAUGGUGCCGUAACUUCGGGAGAAGGCACGCUGAUAUGUAGGUGAAGUCCCUCGCGGAUGGAGCUGAAAUCAGUCGAAGAUACCAGCUGGCUGCAACUGUUUAUUAAAAACACAGCACUGUGCAAACACGAAAGUGGACGUAUACGGUGUGACGCCUGCCCGGUGCCGGAAGGUUAAUUGAUGGGGUCAGCGCAAGCGAAGCUCUUGAUCGAAGCCCCGGUAAACGGCGGCCGUAACUAUAACGGUCCUAAGGUAGCGAAAUUCCUUGUCGGGUAAGUUCCGACCUGCACGAAUGGCGUAAUGAUGGCCAGGCUGUCUCCACCCGAGACUCAGUGAAAUUGAACUCGCUGUGAAGAUGCAGUGUACCCGCGGCAAGACGGAAAGACCCCGUGAACCUUUACUAUAGCUUGACACUGAACAUUGAGCCUUGAUGUGUAGGAUAGGUGGGAGGCUUUGAAGUGUGGACGCCAGUCUGCAUGGAGCCGGCCUUGAAAUACCACCCUUUAAUGUUUGAUGUUCUAACGUGGACCCGUAAUCCGGGUUGCGGACAGUGUCUGGUGGGUAGUUUGACUGGGGCGGUCUCCUCCUAAAGAGUAACGGAGGAGCACGAAGGUUGGCUAAUCCUGGUCGGACAUCAGGAGGUUAGUGCAAUGGCAUAAGCCAGCUUGACUGCGAGCGUGACGGCGCGAGCAGGUGCGAAAGCAGGUCAUAGUGAUCCGGUGGUUCUGAAUGGAAGGGCCAUCGCUCAACGGAUAAAAGGUACUCCGGGGAUAACAGGCUGAUACCGCCCAAGAGUUCAUAUCGACGGCGGUGUUUGGCACC
rnacentral:rRNA from 1 species